rnacentral:misc_RNA from 1 species
GAUGAAGAACGCAGUGAAAUGCGAUAAGUAAUGUGAAUUGCAGAAUUCAGUGAAUCAUCGAAUCUUUGAACGCACAUUGCGCCCGCCAGUAUUCUGGCGGGCAUGCCUGUUCGAGCGUCAUUACAACCCUCAGGCCCCCGGGCCUGGCGUUGGGGAUCGGCAGAAGCCCCCUGUGGGCACACGCCGUCCCUCAAAUACAGUGGCGGUCCCGCCGCAGCUUCCAUUGCGUAGUAGCUAACACCUCGCAACUGGAGAGCGGCGCGGCCAUGCCGUAAAACACCCAACUUCUGAAUGUUGACCUCGAAUCAGGUAGGAAUACCCGCUGAACUUAAGCAUAUCAAUAAGCGGAGGA